UGCAAUGUUUUCCGAGGCUUCAGCUUCGCUCUCCAAAGUGUCUCGGAGUUCUCGGACAGGCCCUGGAAGACUCGAGAGCCCCUGUGGCCCUAACAGUGACUUAGCCCUCCCAUUUACCGGACCCCCUAUCCCUGCCAAGUUGCCUGAGCCCCUCCGCUCUUCACCAACCCCGAGGUGUCUCACUGAGGCCCGGGAAAACUACAGCUCCCAGGUUGCAUCGCGCCGAGGCCCGUAGGCCGCGAAUCAGGCGGCUCGGGUCAGGUGACUUCUGGCCAGCCCUCACGGUAUGUCAAGCCGCCCCCGGGAAGCGGGUACAGUCCGAGACGACUGCCUCGUUCCAUCUGAUCGAUGCCCUGAGCCUAGAGGACCUCAGUUCAUCGAAAUCAAGGAACAUGAUAAGGAGGUGGCUGGUUAUUUUUAUCCUUUUCCCCCUGCAGCUCAUAGAGAAAUGUGAGUCAACAGUUGCCUUCUCUGUACCUCCCAUCGUGAAGCUGGAAAAAGGAAGCUCCACCAGUGUCAGCAUCUCCCUCCCGCGCCCUUUAAAUGAAACCUUGGUGAUCACUUUUGAAAUCACAUUUCGUUCAAAAAACAUUACUAUCCUUCAGCUUCCUGAUGAAGUCGUGGUGCCUCCUGGAACAACAAAUUCCUCUUUUCGAGUGACGUCUCAAAGUGUUGGACAAGUUACCACUUAUCUGCAUGGAAAUCACUCCAACCAGACCAGCCCAAGGAUACGCUUCUUGGUGAUCCACAGCAACAUCGUCAGCAUCAUAAACCAGGUGAUCGGCUGGAUCUACUUCGUGGCCUGGUCGGUCUCCUUCUACCCUCAGGUGAUCACCAACUGGAGGCGGAAAAGUGUCGUGGGUCUGAGCUUUGACUUUGUGGUCCUCAACCUGAUGGGGUUCGUGGCCUACAGCGUAUUCAACAUCGGCCUCUUCUGGGUGCCUUCCAUCAAGGAGCAGUUUCUCCUCAAAUACCCCAACGGCGUGAACCCCGUGGACAGCAACGACGUCUUCUUCAGCCUGCACGCGGUCGCCCUCACCCUGGUUGUCAUAGGGCAGUGCCUCCUGUACGAGCGAGGCAACCAGCGUGUGUCCUGGCUGGCCAUCAGCUUCCUGGUGCUCUCCUGGCUCUUCACACUCAUCGCCCUGAUCAUGGCUGCGGUUGGGGCAACCACGUGGCUGCAGUUUCUCUUCUGUUUCUCCUACAUCAAGCUGGCAGUGACGCUGGUCAAGUAUUUUCCACAGGGACUCAGGAAGGAGAACGUUUUGGCCAGAGUCAGGGCCAGUCCCCUGGAGGGCAUGGAAACAGAGCCAUGCCCUUAAGGAUCAGCAGGACUCAGUCCCAUGGACCGGCGAGGAGGGGCCACUCCGGGCCAGUGCAUUCUGCACAAAGGCGCUGUCGAAGGAGGCCUUGCUGGUGGAGCAGUGUGAAGCUAGGAAGGCAGGAUCGGGGUCCAGGGGGCUUGGGAAGGAGGCUUCAGAGUAGGGGAAGGGCCUGGGGGAAGUAGGGCCUCAGUCCUGAGUGUGGGAAGGCUUGGGCCUGGGAAACCUGGGAGGCAGGAGCCUCAGCUGGAGAUGUCUAGGACCACCCAGGACUGGAGAGGUGGCAGCAAGCAUGAAAGAUAGCGGGAGAGGGCCAAGAAGGGGACCUGACAAGCGGCUGACUGGGAGAAGACCACUACGGAGGCCAAGCUGUCCCUCGGGUGGUGAGAAGAGCGGUCGCAGAGAUGCCCAGAGGGGGCUGGUGUUGGAGGAAGGGUGUGGGGCCCUGAUACCUGGAGGAGGAGUGAUGUCCAAGUGGACUGGACCUGGGAAGCCCAAGGUGGAGGCCCUAGAGCCUCAGCAGGGCUGGGGAAGGAGUUAAGUCCACUCCAUAGGUGGGAAAACUGAGGCUAGAACUCAAGUCACUCUCCCAAGGUAACACAGCUCCCGUGGUGAAGCUGGGAUUCCAAAGUAAGUCAUUGGACCUCCCAGGCUGGUUCAUAAGCCCAACAUGAAGUCCAGGCUGAGUUUGGGGAGAAUCUCCAUUUGAAGGUGAGAAGAAACAAAUCCGAGUUGCCUGAAAGCCAGGAUAUAUGGAAGGAUGAAGAAGAUGGAGAGACAGCAUCCACACACACCCCUCUCCCUCCUCCCAUUGCCCUGGCUGGAGUUGGGAGUCUGGAGCCGGUGGUGGAGGUGGGGAGGGACAGGGAGGAGAGCUCUGUUCGCUUGGCUCACAGACCCCAGGACCCGCCCAGAGUGUGCCUGCAGCUCCGAGUCCAAAGGUCAUUGUGUUUUGGGGGCUGAGGUCCAAACAGAGGAGUGGGAGGCCUACAUGAACUUUCACUACAAAAGCACCGAGGGCUGGAGCAUUGGCAACGUGCUUCUGGACUUCACUGGGGGCAGCUUCAGCCUCCUCCAGAUGUUCCUGCAGUCCUACAACAAUGACCAGUGGACACUGAUCUUCGGAGACCCAACCAAGUUUGGCCUCGGCAUCUUUUCCAUCAUCUUCGAUGUUGUCUUCUUCAUCCA